rnacentral:rRNA from 1 species
UCGAGCGAAUGGAUUAAGAGUUUGUCUUAUGAAGUUAGCGGCGGACGGGUGAGUAACACGUGGGUAACCUGCCCAUAAGACUGGGAUAACUCCGGGAAACCGGGGCUAAUACCGGAUAACAUUUUGAACCGCAUGGUUCGAAAUUGAAAGGCGGCUUCGGCUGUCACUUAUGGAUGGACCCGCGUCGCAUUAGCUAGUUGGUGAGGUAACGGCUCACCAAGGCAACGAUGCGUAGCCGACCUGAGAGGGUGAUCGGCCACACUGGGACUGAGACACGGCCCAGACUCCUACGGGAGGCAGCAGUAGGGAAUCUUCCGCAAUGGACGAAAGUCUGACGGAGCAACGCCGCGUGAGUGAUGAAGGCUUUCGGGUCGUAAAACUCUGUUGUUAGGGAAGAACAAGUGCUAGUUGAAUAAGCUGGCACCUUGACGGUACCUAACCAGAAAGCCACGGCUAACUACGUGCCAGCAGCC